AUAAUAUAUAAAUUGAUGAUGUUGAUGGUCAUGGUGGUUCUUUAAUAAAUAAUUUGAAUGUCUCAGUAAUGGGCUGCAAUUUUAAAAGAAUAAGAUAAAUUAUACCCACAAACUCCCAAUCUUUCCUGAAACAUUGCAAUCUGAAACCCUAUUGUAGGAAGCAGAAGAUUCCAGGAGACAUUCUACAAAUGAAGGACUCUAAACCCUGUGGUUGGAUAAGGAAUUCUGGAAGGAAGAUAUCCUCACCCAAGGAGAGCAGGAUUCCAGGAAAAAGGCCUGGGCUGCGGCCACAGUGGGCGGGGCCCCCAGGCCGGGCCGCCUCUCCAGGACCCCCGGAAGGGGGCUCCUGGAGGCUCCAGGCGGCUCCUCCCCCGGCGCCGCCCUCCCUCCCGGAAGGCCUCGGGGCAGAGCGGUCCCACCUCCUCGCCCAGAACGGAGCCCGCGUUUCCGCAGAGCUGGAACUCCCGGCUCGGGGUCUCUUCCCUCCGCCGUCACUGAAGUGCCCCGGAGCCCGAGGGGAGGGCGGCCUCACUGAGGCUGCCGGCUCUGGAGGGGCCCCGGCGGCCGAAGCCGCGACAGUCCUGGGGACCGCGGGCCGGUUGUUUCAGCAAGUAACUUAAAGACAAAAUGGAAAAACAAGGAGGUUUGUGCCUGAGAUCAUGUUGAGGUGAAACCAGGGAUGGCCACCUUGUGCCAGGGAGCUGUCUGAGAUGUCGUGGGAGUUGCCUCUAACCAGGACCUGAUACCCAAUGCCUUGACAACGCUGCCUUUUCAAAGCUUGAACUGCGACUCUUCACUUGGCUCCACAGGCCCAGGGCAACUUGAACACCUGGCAAGACAGUCUUCAAUACUAUUUUCACCCUGAUUUUGAGGAUUUGGGCAAGUGAUGUAUUAUAAAGAGGUGAAUGCAGGACUUCCCUGGUGGCGCAGUGGUUAAGAAUCCGCCUGCCAAUGCAGGAGACACGGGUUCGAGCCCUGGUCUGGGGGGAUCCCACAUGCCGCGGAGCAACUAAGCCCGUGCACCACGACUACUGAGCCUGCGCUGUGGAGCCCGCGAGCCACAACUACUGAGCCCACGUGCCACAACUACUGAAGCCCGUGCACCUGGAGCCCGUGCUCCACAAUGGGAGAGGCCACUGCAAUGAGAAGCCUGCUCACCGCAACUAGAGAAAGCCCACGCAGCAAGGAAGGCCCACUGCAGCCAAAAAUAAAUAAAUAAAUAAAUUA